AGAAUCAACGCUGGCGGCGUGCCUAACACAUGCAAGUCGAACGAGAAAGUGGAGCAAUCCAUGAGUAAAGUGGCGCACGGGGUGAGUAACACGUGACUAACCUACCCUUGAGUGGGGAAUAACUUCGGGAAACCGAGGCUAAUACCGCAUAACACCUACGGGUCAAGGAGCAAUUCGCUUAAGGAGGGGGUCGCGGCAGAUUAGCUAGUUGGCGGGGUAAUGGCCCACCAAGGCUUUGAUCGGUAG
rnacentral:rRNA from 1 species